AUUUUUUUGAAAAUCUCUGUUUCUUACUGCAGUAUUUCUGUUAUUGCAGCGGUUAACAAAUUAUAUGGAAAUACGACGAUAUAAGUUAAAUUUCAAAAUUCUUAUGUGUUCAUAUGCAGUGAAUCAAACGAAAAAUGCAACCUUUGUUACAAUUAUUUAAAAUAUUACAAAAAUAAAAAACAACUAAAUUUUAUCGCCAUAUUUCUCCAUAAUUCGGCAACCGCUACAAUAAUGCAAAAGUCAAAACAAAAUAGUAAAUGACAACAGACUACAAAAGCGGAAGUGGGAAGGUUGUAGUAUUUUGACUGCAAUUAUGUACAAAAAUAUGUUGCAUCCAUGCUGCAAGAAUUAAUGUCCGACCUUUCCGGCAAAAUUUCCAUUUACAGGGACAGAAAAAGAUUACAAGACAAGUUGAAUAAAAAAGUUAAAGCACCGAACACUUUUUAUGUACAGCCAGAGAUACUGACAGCUUUGAAAUUUGCUACAACCACAGAAAGUACUGCCCGAUUAUACCUUAAAAAGAUAUUUAACAGUUGUGAAAUUAUUCAUGCGAAUAAGCCAAGAAUGGUUAAGGUUGUAUUUUUAAUGUUUUUAUGUUGUGAAUUAGAAGCUGGAUAAUAUACCAGCUUAUUUAACUUUUUAAUUAUUAGUAGUGUCGCUGAUCAGCGAACACGCGAAUGUAAACAAACAGCUAAAAAUAGACCCAAUUCGGAGAUUCCUAACUUUUCAGA